rnacentral:rRNA from 1 species
UACGAAGGGGGCUAGCGUUGUUCGGAAUCACUGGGCGUAAAGGGCGCGUAGGCGGCUUUGUAAGUCGGGGGUGAAAGCCUGUGGCUCAACCACAGAAUUGCCUUCGAUACUGCAUGGCUUGAGACCGGAAGAGGUAAGUGGAACUGCGAGUGUAGAGGUGAAAUUCGUAGAUAUUCGCAAGAACACCAGUGGCGAAGGCGGCUUACUGGUCCGGUUCUGACGCUGAGGCGUGAAAGCGUGGGGAGCAAACAGG